AAAAAAAAAAAAAAAAAAAGGUUUUCACCUUUUGCUACUGAGGCAAAAUGCAUUAAAAGGAUAAAGGUCAAAAGGACACGGGUGCUGGUGCUGACUCCCCUCUGGGAUUAGUUCAACAUAAAAGGUAUACUUUCAGUACUGCAAAGGCAGCUUUCGUUGUGAAACUCCCCUGUACACUAAUAGAAGACACGUGGCUGAAACAGCAUAUACUGAAAGUAAUGAUUUGUAAAAAUAGCUUUUCACUACAGUUGAAUGUUGGAAAAUGAUGUGUUCAUAUAGUUCCAUUAGCUGAGCGUUACUGUCAAACUGAGCAAGUCAGUGACAGGUCUUGGUUUCUCCUGCACUUCUAUCUGUUAUUAUUUUGAUAUCAUCAAAUGUUUCUUCCCUGGGAUCCUCCUCUUUAUGCUCUCUCUGCAUACUCAGUUGGUUUUCCACAGAACAAAGCUUGAAAAGGAAAAUUCUGCAGAUCAUUCAAAACAUUACUUAAAUUGCAAACUGGUUCAACCUUGACAAAUUGAUGUAGCUGCAGUCACACUUACGCAUGAAUGUAUGCUACUAGCUUCAUAACAGGUAUUUCAAAUAUUCUCCAGUGAUGAAAGAGUCUUAACAAUAUAGUAUUUUGUGUAAUUAAUCUCCCUAACAUAUAUAUAUAUAGGGAGAGAGUAUAUAUAUAUAUUCUUUUGUAUUAAUUCAAAAGCAUACACUGGCAUUUUUUUAUUUUUUUUUCCAGUUCACUAAGCCUGUAUUUACUGAAGCAAACAAAAAAGACCCUUUAAAAAAAAUAAAUCAAAGGGAUAUUAGAAAGAUUGACAAAGGUGUGUUCUCACCAGACUCCUAUGGCUCUCUUUCAGUGGUUUACUGACCUCUGUUGGUGAAAUUAAAGUAUAUGUUCCGAAAAUGAUGUGUACAUUGGAAAGAGAGAUUUUAAAAUAUUGCUGACUGAUAUUUUUAGAUAUGGAAGGAUACGGCUAAUUCUUAAAGGCCCCAUAAAUUUCGGAAGGCUACAAUUUCAGAAAAGAAAAAAAAAAAAGUCAAUAUGAAAAUAGAUUUUCAUUUUGUUAACUUAGGGCAAUACUAAGGUACAUGCAGUUGGUGAAAAUGUAGCUGUUGGAAGAGAGGAAUUUGAAUGAAAAGGCUGUCAACUCAGUGUCUAAAGCUGCAGAGGCAGCCUGCCCAGUGAGCCCCCAGUCACUUACAUUACUCUUGGCAUGAACAUUUACGAGCAUAUUGGCCCUCAUUCUACGACAUCAUUCCAGCCACAAUGAGAAGCACUUGUCCUCUGGCAUACAGAUGGGCAGUAAUUCUCAGUAGCAUAACUAGAUAACAUUACAGAACAUUGUGGCCCCAUCGGUUUAUUAUCAGUCUAAUCUUCCUACUAACAACAGUGAUGCUACUAUUGGUGACAGAAGGUGCUGAGCACCUGCUUGACAGGCAUGCAGUACCUCACCUCCUGAUGAAGCAGAACUUCAAUCACUUGGAGUCUUGUAAAGAUUACAACAUAAUUCAUGAAUAUUUUUGCACAUCUUGGUAUUAUGCCCUAUUUUGUAACCAGCUUCACAGAUUUAUACAAAGCCUGUUUGGGGACAUUCAUUCGAAUACCUACGAUAUCAAUUUUGCUGAAAUGGCCUCAGCUAGGCUAGAUGAAACCAUGAUCUAGGUGAGGAGGUGAGUGCAUCCUGCAGUGCCUCAGAGCAGGGUGUCACCUUCCCCCACCCACCUACUCUCACCCCUUGCAAGACAUCUCUGGUGGAUGGCUCUCAUGUAUAUCUGCAUAUACAUUUGCCCUUAGAAGAUGGAUUGCUUAUUUGAAAAGCAAUUUGUAGCAAAAUUAUUAUGAAUAACAAUAAUGAUAAUGUAAACAUAUGCUUUGAAGCUGCAAUAAUU